ACCCAGGUUAUAAAAGUCUGAAUUAUUUAAAAAGUACAUUUUAUUAUUAAAAAGGGCACAUAAUUAAUAUAUAGUCUGUUACAAUUAAGAAUAGCUAAUUCUUAAUAAAAACACAAUAAAUAAAAUAAGUCAAUUAAAUAAGGAGCUGGGAAAAUAAUGUAAAUAAAUACAGACACAAAUAUUAGAGGAAAAUAAACUUUAUUUAAUCCAUAAAUAAUUAUUUUUCAUAUUUUUGGGAAUACUUUGUUGUUUUAGUAGCACGUCACCUAUUGCAGCCAAUAGGGUGAUCGUAUUACGCUGACAUGAGUGGGAAAUACUGUUGACCCUGACCCAGCACUUCCUUUUGGGUCAAGCAGCCGUCAGGAGCAGGUGAAUGCUGGAAGAAAGUUAACAGAAAGCUAGAUACAAGCCAAACUUAGGUGAUAGAAACCUUAUUAUUAUCAGUAAUAACUCUCAUCUACUCUAAAACGCUGAGCUGGUGGAGCCAAGACGCAGUUUGUGGUGAAUGAGGAGCUUAUUAGCCUGAUACACAGAGGUUUUUCUGCAUCGGUCAGGUUUUUUGACUAGAGUUCGAAUUGGAUUCCCUCGUUCCUACGUUUGAUGGCGAGCCUCCCUGGACUUCGACCCUGAAAGCUGUUUGCAAGUACUGUGGACAACUCUGAUCUGUGAAACCCCCUUUUUUUUCCCUUAUUGCUGAACCUUUAUUCAUCUUCAGAGCGGUAGGAGAAAUACUCACCAUGCCAUAGACUGGACUCUGUGCACAUACCCACACUUCAAACUCCAACUCCCACCUGUGAAAAAAAAAGAACUUUAUAUUGUUGUGGUUUUGAUAUAUGUAUAUUGUGUUAUUAUUUUAAUUGAACUUAAUUCUUGAAUUUACAGAAUCUAACUAAUAUUCUUGUUAUUUUAUUUUGGUAUUCUGGUGAAAAAGGGAUAUUCUGAUAUUGAUACUGAGGUUGAUAUUGAUAUUUUGCAUAUAUAUAAAUAUAUUAUUAUUAUAGAUUUUCCUACCCGGGUAGUAGUAAUAUAAAUAGUAUCACAUACAACAUCAGGGAAAGAUAAUAUUGGUAUUAUUCAUAUUGAAUAUUCUAUAUCUUUUUGUUUUUUAUUUUCUUUUAUUAUAAUAGUAUUAUAAUAGUAUUCAUACUUACCUUUUCAAUAAAUGGAGGCUUCCACUAAGCUCCAAAUUCCA